CCUACGGGAGGCAGCAGUGGGGGAUAUUGGACAAUGGGGGGAACCCUGAUCCAGCGACGCCGCGUGAGUGAAGAAGUAUUUCGGUAUGUAAAGCUCUGUCAGCAGGGAAGAAAGAAAUGACGGUACCUGACCAAGAAGCCCCGGCUAACUACGUGCCAGCAGCCGCGGGAAUACGUAGGGGGCAAGCGUUAUCCGGAAUUAAUGGGUGUAAAGGGAGCGUAGACGGUUAAGUAAGUCUGGAGUGAAAGGCCGGGGCCCAACCCCGGGACUGCUCUGGAAACUAUUGAACUUGAGUGCAGGAGAGGUAAGCGGAAUUCGUAGUGUAGCGGUGAAAUGCGUAGAUAUUAGGAGGAACACCAGUGGCGAAGGCGGCUUACUGGACUGUAACUGACGUUGAGGCUCGAAAGCGUGGGGAGCAAACAGGAUUAGAUACCCGAGUAGUC
rnacentral:rRNA from 1 species